GACGAACCGUGCGAACGUUGUUCGGAAUCACUGGGCUUAAAGGGCGCGUAGGCGGCUUGCCAAGUCAGGGGUGAAAUCUUUCGGCUUAACCGGAAAAGUGCCUUUGAUACUGGCGAGCUCGAGUGAGGUAGGGGCAGAUGGAACUGUUGGUGGAGCGGUGAAAUGUGUUGAUAUCAACAGGAACGCCGGUGGCGAAAGCGAUCUGCUGGACCUCUUCUGACGCUGAGGCGCGAAAGCUAGGGGAGCAAACGGG
rnacentral:rRNA from 1 species